GCCAGGUGUGAUGGCUCGCACCUGUGGUCCCAGCUACUUUGGAGGCUGAGAUGGGAGGAUCGCUUGAGCCCAGGAAGUCAAGGCUGCAGUGAGCCAUGAUCAUGCCACUGCACUCCAGCCUGAGUGACAGAGUGAGACUCUGUCUCAA
ensembl:misc_RNA Metazoa_SRP Metazoan signal recognition particle RNA